GGACCUUGUCUAGUGAUUUAGAAUAGGUUGUUAUGGUCCAUAACAACCUACUCUAAAUCACUAGACUGGGUC
rnacentral:pre_miRNA from 9 species